rnacentral:rRNA from 1 species
AAGAGACAGCAGCAGCCGCGGUAAUACGAAGGGUGCAAGCGUUACUCGGAAUUACUGGGCGUAAAGCGUGCGUAGGUGGUGGUUUAAGUCCGUUGUGAAAGCCCUGGGCUCAACCUGGGAAUUGCAGUGGAUACUGGGUCACUAGAGUGUGGUAGAGGAUAGUGGAAUUUCCGGUGUAGCAGUGAAAUGCGUAGAGAUCGGAAGGAACAUCUGUGGCGAAGGCGACUAUCUGGGCCAACACUGACACUGAGGCACGAAAGCGUGGGGAGCAAACAGGAUUAGAUACCCGAGUAGUCCCUGUCUCUUAUAC